rnacentral:rRNA from 1 species
UGGGGAAUAUUGGACAAUGGGCGAAAGCCUGAUCCAGCCAUGCCGCGUGUGUGAAGAAGGUCUUCGGAUUGUAAAGCACUUUAAGUUGGGUGGAAGGGCAGUAAGCGAAUACCUUGCUGUUUUGACGUUACCGACAGAAUAAGCACCGGCUAACUCUGUGCCAGCAGCCGCUGUAAUACAGAGUUUGCAAGCGUUAAUCGGAAUUACUGGGCGUAAAGCGCGCGUAGGUGGUUCGUUAAGUUGAAUGUGAAAGCCACGGGCUCAACCUGGGAACUGCAUCCGAAACUGCCGAGCUAGAGGAGGGCAGAGGGUGGUGGAAUUUCCUGUGUAGCGGUGAAAUGCGUAGAUAUAGGAAGGAACACAAGUGGCGAAGGCGACCACCUGGGCUCAUACUGACACUGAGGUGCGAAAGCGUGGGGAGCAAACAGG